CUGCCCGGUGCUUUGAAUGUCAAUGUGAGGAGACUCAUCUAAGCGCGGGUUAACGGCAGGCGUAACUAUGACGCUUUCAACGUAGCAAAAUGCCUCGUCAUCUAAUUAGUGACUCGCAUGAACGGAUUAAUGAGAUUCCUACUGUCCCUGUCUAUUUUCCAGCGAAUCUACAGCUUAGGGAACGGGCUAAGCUUUGACAGAACGGCAAGAAGACCCUGUUGAGGUUGACUCUAGCUAAUUUUUGUACAGUUGCACAGAUGGCGUAGUGUAUGUGGGAGCUCCGGCAACAAUGAAACACCACAACAUCUGACGCGGCUGAACUUACUCGUUUAACUGUUUUUUACUUAAGUAUAUAAACCGAAACGAGAACAUUCAUUGGUUGGGAGUUUGGCUGGGGCGGUACAUCUGUUAAAAUCCACCACAGGUGUCCAAUGAUUGUCUCAGUUAGAUCAGAAAUCUAACGUAGACUAAAAGGAGAAAAGAUAGUUUUAUCGUGACCCCUACAAUUGGUCACGAUUGCGAAAGCAAGGCCUAUCGAUCCUUUCAGAAACCGGAGGUUGGGCUGAGAGGUGUCUGAAAACUUACCACAGGGAUAACUGAUUUGUGGCAGCCAAGCGUUCAUAGCGACGUUGCUUUUUGAUCCUUCGAUGUCGGCUCUUCCUAUCAUGAAGUUGCAGAAGGCUUCAAGUGUUAGAUUGUUCACC
rnacentral:rRNA from 1 species